rnacentral:rRNA from 1 species
UACGUAGGGACCAAGCGUUGUUCGGAUUUACUGGGCGUAAAGGGCGCGUAGGCGGCAAUUCAAGUCAGUUGUGAAAUCUCCGAGCUUAACUCGGAACGGUCAACUGAUACUGUUUUGCUAGAGUGCAGAAGGGGCAAUCGGGAAUUCUUGGUGUAGCGGUGAAAUGCGUAGAUAUCAAGAGGAACACCUGAGGUGAAGACGGGUUGCUGGGCUGAUACUGACGUGAGGCGCGAAAGCUAGGGUAGCAAACGGG